CACGUAGGGCGCAAGCGUUGUCCGGAAUUAUUGGGCGUAAAGAGCUCGUAGGUGGUUUGUUGCGUCCGCUGUGAAAUCCCGGGGCUCAACCCCGGGCCUGCAGUGGAUACGGGCUGGCUAGAGGCAGGCAGGGGAGAACGGAAUUCCUGGUGUAGCGGUGAAAUGCGCAGAUAUCAGGAGGAACACCGGUGGCGAAGGCGGUUCUCUGGGCCUGUACUGACGCUGAGGAGCGAAAGCGUGGGGAGCGAACAGG
rnacentral:rRNA from 1 species